AUGUCGCUACUGGAAGCCGUCCUCUUCUUCUCCUUCUGGGCUUGUGGCCUUGGACAGUUAAAGUUGGAGCAACCUGAAAUAUCAAUUUCCAAGGCAAGAGAUAAGAGUGCCUAUAUAUAUUGUAAGGUGUCUUCUAGCACCUUUAGCACAGACUACAUACACUGGUACCAGCAGAAACCAGAUCAGGGUAUAGAACAUUUAAUGUACGUUGACUCCACAAUACCUGUUAGUCAGAGGAACAAGAAAUUUGAGGCAAAUAAAAAUAUUCGCUCUUCCACUUCCACCUUGAAAAUAAAUUCCUUAGAGAAACAAGAUGAGGCCGUGUACUUCUGUGCCUGCUGGACUGAUGCCCACAACUGUGGUCACUCAGGCUGGGUCAAGAUAUUUGCAGAAGGGACAAAGCUCAUAGUAAUUCCCCCUGAGAGAAGCCUUGAUUCAUCAGAGAUGGCUCCCGAGCCCACAAUGUUUCUUCCUUCAGCUGCCGAAAUAAACCUUCAUAAUGCUGGGACAUAUCUUUGUCUCCUUGAGAAAUUUUUCCCUGAUGUCAUUAAGGUCUAUUGGAAGGAAAAGGACAGCAAUGCAAUUCUGGCAUCCCAGCAGGGAAAUACCAUGAAGACUAAUGACGCAUACAUGAAAUUCAGCUGGCUGACCGUGACUGCGAAGUCAAUGGACAAAGAACACAAAUGCAUCGUCAAACACGAGAAUAAUAGAAGAGGAGCUGAUCAAGAGAUUCUUUUUCCUUCAAUAAAUAAAGGUAUUAGGAAUCAUACUGCAUGCACACGCAAUGACUCAGAUACAUUGUGGUUGCAGCUCACAAAUACCUCCGCCUACUACACCUACCUCCUCCUCCUUCUCAAGAGCCUGGUCUACUUUGCCAUCAUUCCCUUCUGUCUGUUUAGGAGAACAGCCGUCCGUGGCCAUGGCAAGAGUUCAUAA